rnacentral:rRNA from 1 species
AGUGAACGCUGGCGGUAGGCCUAACACAUGCAAGUCGAACGGCAGCACAGUAAGAGCUUGCUCUUACGGGUGGCGAGUGGCGGACGGGUGAGGAAUACAUCGGAAUCUACUUUUUCGUGGGGGAUAACGUAGGGAAACUUACGCUAAUACCGCAUACGACCUACGGGUGAAAGCAGGGGAUCUUCGGACCUUGCGCGAUUGAAUGAGCCGAUGUCGGAUUAGCUAGUUGGCGGGGUAAAGGCCCACCAAGGCGACGAUCCGUAGCUGGUCUGAGAGGAUGAUCAGCCACACUGGAACUGGAACACGGUCCAGGCUACUGCGGGAGGCAGCAGUGGGGAAUAGUGGACAAUGGGCGCAAGCCUGAUCCAGCCAUACCGCGUGGGUGGAGAAGGCCUUCGGGUUGUGAAGCCCUUUUGUUGGGAAAGAAAAGCAGCAGGUUAAUACCCCGCUGUUCUGACGGUACCCAAUGAAUAAGCACCGGCUAACUUCGUG